rnacentral:rRNA from 1 species
UACAGAGGGUGCGAGCGUUAAUCGGAAUUACUGGGCGUAAAGCGUGCGUAGACGGCUAUCUAAGUCGGGUGUGAAAGCCCCGGGCUCAACCUGGGAAUUGCAUUCGAGACUGAAUAGCUAGGGUGCGGUAGAGGGAAGCGGAAUUUCCGGUGUAGCGGUGAAAUGCGUAGAUAUCGGGAAGGAACAUCAGUGGCGAAAAGCGGCUUCCUGGAC